rnacentral:lncRNA from 1 species
UCGGACUCCGGGCUUCCGGGGGCAGCCUGCAGCAGUCCCGGGCGCGGCACCUGCGGCGGGCGACUCUCCCGCUGGGGCGCAGGGCCCCGGCCACGGGGCAUCCCAGCCGAAGCCGGCGCGGGUGACGGGCCGGGUUGGGAGAGCUGCGCCUCGGCGUUUGGGGGAGACUCCGCGUCAUCAGGAUCUUGGGUUAUGUUCCUGAUUUUAUGCAGAUGCCACGGCUCCGUAUAUAAAGGACAUUCACUAAAAAGCCUUGCAGGUCACCUCACUGAAUGUGGUACUCAGAGUAUUGAUGGAAAAUUCAUAGAUUGGUAUUUGAUGCCAGACAGGUAUUGAACGUGGUGUAGAUUGAAGGAGCAAAAGAUCUCUUCUUCCUUUCGUAGUUGACCUGUGAACAACACUGGUUUGAACUGCACUGGUUCACUUAUACGUGGAUUUUUUUUGAUGAAUACAAUACUGUAAGUAGAUGUUCUAUUAUAAUUUUCUUAAUAAUAUUUUCUUUAUCUUGCUUUAUUGCAAGAAUAUAUUAUACAUAUAACAUACAAUAAAUGUUAAUUGA